rnacentral:rRNA from 1 species
UGGGGAAUAUUGGACAAUGGGGGAAACCCUGAUCCAGCCAUGCCGCGUGAAUGAUGAAGGCCUUCGGGUUGUAAAGUUCUUUUGGUGGGGACGAUAAUGACGGUACCCACAGAAUAAGCUCCGGCUAACUUCGUGCCAGCAGCCGCGGUAAUACGAAGGGGGCUAGCGUUGUUCGGAAUUACUGGGCGUAAAGGGCGCGUAGGCGGUUUAACAAGUCAGGUGUGAAAGCCCCGAGCUUAACUCGGGAACUGCGCUUGAUACUGUUAUUCUUGAAUUCGGGAGAGGUGAGUGGAAUUCCCAGUGUAGAGGUGAAAUUCGUAGAUAUUGGGAGGAACACCAGUGGCGAAGGCGGCUCACUGGACCGACAUUGACGCUGAGGCGCGAAAGCGUGGGGAUCAAA